AGCAGCCAGGUGAUUGAUGAGGGCAGCCAUUUUGACCCAGUGAUAGAAGCUGGGCUGCAGUUUGCUGCAGGAAAGAAGGAGGUAACAUCAGGCUGAGAGGCUGCUCCGGGAAUAUUAGGAGGCGUGGCAGAAAAGCAAAGCAGGCAGUUACCCCAGGAGCAGGGCGGCCGGUGGAGACUGGACAAGGAGGCCACCCUGUUGCUCUAUGAAUAUGAGUGGCAGAAGCAGGCCCUCAGCAAUGAUCUUUCCAGGAGAGAAGAUGCGGUAACAAAAGCUGUGUACAGGCAAACAAAGCAACUCAUUUGCUGCUUCCUGGAAGAAAAAAAGAAUGCCUGCCUACAAGCAAAAAAGAACUCAUGAAAACACAGCAGGAGGACUGUGUUUCUAUGCUGGAGUUUGCCAUGGAAUACAAUGGCAGUUGGGCACCUAAGCCCAAAAGUCCCUUUGAAAAUCCCAGUUCAUAACUGUAGCCUUAGAACAAUAUAUUGUAUUUACUUGAAUAUAAGAUGACCCUGAAUAUCAGUGAACCUCCCAAGAUUAAUUCUAUAUAUGGAAAAUGUAUACAAUUGUUAUAAUUUUCCAAGUAUAGAAUCUAAUUGUAUUGGAGGUUUGCCUUGAAUUUGUCCCCCUCCCACUGCUACAGCAGGGAAAAUGAAUCUGAAGGGUCAGGUAGCUCCCUUGUCCUCUGCCCCUUCCCCCUCCCAGCUUCUUUUCCCUGUAGCCCCUUUUCCAUUUCCUUAAUGUCAGACCAUGCACAUGAAAGUGAGUAGCAAAUUUGAAAACACUGACCUAGAAAUAAACAUGCCUGUAGUAGCUUGCAUAUAAGGAAAUUACUACAGGUACUCAUUCUUAGUUAAUCCAGAAUUGAGGCAUUUAAUGUUUUUGGAAACAGCUGUAAGUUUUAGCAAAUGUAUUCUAUAAACAUCUCUUUUAAGCAGUGCUUUUGUAUGUACUUAUAUAUAGCACAAACUCUGCACAAUAUUAGUCUAAACCCAAAAGUUUUAUAAUUUAUCUUGUAAGUUCAUUAGGCUGGGCCCCAGCAGUCAAUGGCAUUUCAAGCCAUGGUAACCCCACAGCUCAGUGCUGCUCAGUACGUGUGGGUACACCAGAUACCCGCCAACAAAGAAUCCAUGUGCUAAUUAGCCUCCUGCACAUGG